rnacentral:rRNA from 1 species
GACGUAGGUGGCGAACGUUAUCCGGAAUUAUUGGGCGCAAAGGGUGCGUAGAUGGCCUGAUAAGUUAGCAGUGGGAAAUCGAGGCUCAACCUCGUGGAAGCUGGUAAUACUGUCAGGCUCGAGUGCAGGAGAGGUUAACGGAACUCCAUGUGGAGCGGUAAAAUGUGUAGAUAUAUGGAAGAACACCAAUAACGGCGAAGGCAGUUAACUAUUCUGUUACUGACAUUGAGGCACGAAAGCGUGGGGAGCAAAACGG